rnacentral:rRNA from 1 species
GAUGAACGCUGGCGGCGUGCCUAAUACAUGCAAGUCGAGCGAACAGACGAGGAGCUUGCUCCUCUGACGUUAGCGGCGGACGGGUGAGUAACACGUGGAUAACCUACCUAUAAGACUGGGAUAACUUCGGGAAACCGGAGCUAAUACCGGAUAAUAUAUUGAACCGCAUGGUUCAAUAGUGAAAGACGGUUUUGCUGUCACUUGUAGAUGGAUCCGCGCCGCAUUAGCUAGUUGGUAAGGUAACGGCUUACCAAGGCAACGAUGCGUAGCCGACCCGAGAGGGUGAUCGGCCACACUGGAACUGAGACACGGUCCAGACUCCUACGGGAGGCAGCAGUAGGGAAUCUUCCGCAAUGGGCGAAAGCUUGACGGAGCAACGCCGCGUGAGUGAUGAAGGUCUUCGGAUCGUAAAACUCUGUUAUUAGGGAAGAACAAAUGUGUAAGUAACUAUGCACGUCUUGACGGUACCUAAUCAGAAAGCCACGGCUAACUACGUG